rnacentral:rRNA from 1 species
UCCGCAGGGGGCGUGCCACGCCCGCCGUGAAACCCAGGGGCUCAACCCCUGGACUGCGGCGGGUACGGGCGCGCUAGAGCGCGGGAUGGGCAGAUGGAAUUCCAGGUGUAGCGGUGGAAUGCGUGGAUAUCUGGAAGAACACCGAUGGCGAAGGCGAUCUGCUGGCCCGUGACUGACCCUCAUGGACGAGAGUGUGGGUAGCAAACAG